UACGUAGGGGGCAAGCGUUGUCCGGAAUUAUUGGGCGUAAAGCGCGCGCAGGCGGCUGAUUAAGUCUGGUGUUUAACCCCGGGGCUCAACCCCGGGUCGCACUGGAAACUGGUUAGCUUGAGUGCAGAAGAGGAAAGUGGAAUUCCACGUGUAGCGGUGAAAUGCGUAGAGAUGUGGAGGAACACCAGUGGCGAAGGCGACUUUCUGGUCUGUAACUGACGCUGAGGCGCGAAAGCGUGGGGAGCAAACAGG
rnacentral:rRNA from 1 species